rnacentral:rRNA from 1 species
AGUGAACGCUGGCGGUAGGCCUAACACAUGCAAGUCGAACGGCAGCACAGUAAGAGCUUGCUCUUACGGGUGGCGAGUGGCGGACGGGUGAGGAAUACAUCGGAAUCUACUUUUUCGUGGGGGAUAACGUAGGGAAACUUACGCUAAUACCGCAUACGACCUACGGGUGAAAGCAGAGGAUCUUCGGACCUUGCGCGAUUGAAUGAGCCGAUGUCAGAUUAGCUAGUUGGCGGGGUAAAGGCCCACCAAGGCGACGAUCCGUAGCUGGUCUGAGAGGAUGAUCAGCCACACUGGAACUGAGACACGGUCCAGACUCCUACGGGAGGCAGCAGUGGGGAAUACUGGACAAUGGGCGCAAGCCUGAUCCAGCCAUACCGCGUGGGUGAAGAAGGCCUUCGGGUUGUAAAGCCCUUUUGUUGGGAAAGAAAAGCAGCAGGUUAAUACCCCGCUGUUCUGACGGUACCCAAAGAAUAAGCACCGGCUAACUUCGUG